UGGGGAAUAUUGGACAAUGGGCGAAAGCCUGAUCCAGCCAUGCCGCGUGUGUGAAGAAGGUCUUCGGAUUGUAAAGCACUUUAAGUUGGGAGGAAGGGCAGUAAGCGAAUACCUUGCUGUUUUGACGUUACCGACAGAAUAAGCACCGGCUAACUCUGUGCCAGCAGCCGCGGUAAUACAGAGGGUGCAAGCGUUAAUCGGAAUUACUGGGCGUAAAGCGCGCGUAGGUGGUUCGUUAAGUUGAAUGUGAAAGCCCCGGGCUCAACCUGGGAGCUGCAUCCAAAACUGGCGAGCUAGAGUAGGGCAGAGGGUAGUGGAAUUUCCUGUGUAGCGGUGAAAUGCGUAGAUAUAGGAAGGAACACCAGUGGCGAAGGCGACCACCUGGGCUCAUACUGACACUGAGGUGCGAAAGCGUGGGGAGCAAACAGG
rnacentral:rRNA from 1 species